rnacentral:rRNA from 1 species
CAAGUCGAACGAGAAAGUGGUAGCAAUACCAUGAGUAAAGUGGCGCACGGGUGAGUAACACGUGACUAACCUACCCUUGAGUGGGGGAUAACUGAGGGAAACCUUAGCUAAUACCGCAUAAUACCUACGGGUCAAAGGAGCAAUUCGCUCAAGGAGGGGGUCGCGGCCGAUUAGUUAGUUGGCAGGGUAAUGGCCUACCAAGACGAUGAUCGGUAUCCGGCCUGAGAGGGCGCACGGACACACUGGAACUGAAACACGGUCCAGACUCCUACGGGAGGCAGCAGUGGGGAAUUUUGCGCAAUGGGGGAAACCCUGACGCAGCAACGCCGCGUGGAGGAUGAAGUCCUUCGGGACGUAAACUCCUUUCGAUCGGGACGAUUAUGACGGUACCGGAAGAAGAAGCCCCGGCUAACUUCGUGCCAGCAGCCGCGGUAAUACGAGGGGGGCGAGCGUUGUUCGGAAUUAUUGGGCGUAAAGGGUGCGUAGGCGGUUUGGUAAGUCUUAUGUGAAAUCUAUGGGCUCAACUCAUAGUCUGCAUGAGAAACUGCCGGGCUUGAGUAUGGGAGAGGUGAGUGGAAUUCCUGGUGUAGCGGUGAAAUGCGUAGAUAUCAGGAGGAACACCUGUGGCGAAAGCGGCUCACUGGACCAUAACUGACGCUGAUGCACGAAAGCUAGGGGAGCAAACAGGAUUAGAUACCCUGGUAGUCCUAGCCCUAAACGAUGACUGCUUGGUGUGACGGGUACCCAAUCCCGCCGUGCCGUAGCUAACGCGUUAAGCAGUCCGCCUGGGGAGUACGGUCGC